CAGCAGCCACAUUCCAGCCAAUCAGCAGCAGACCCUCCCUCCCAGAUCCUCCCACCUCCUGGACAGCAUCCAUUUUACAUUCAUUGUGAAGCUGCAUUCUUAGUGAGCUGUCCAGGAGGUGGGAGGGUCUGGGAGGGAGGGUCUGCUGCUGAUUGGCUGGAAUGUGUCUGCUG